rnacentral:rRNA from 1 species
GCUGGUGAUUUGUCGGAAGGGUCACACCCGUUCCCAUUCCGAACACGGAAGUUAAGCCUUCACGAGCCGAUGGUACUCGCAAGGGGAGAGUAGGUUGUCGCCAGCG